rnacentral:rRNA from 1 species
GGAAGGUGCGAGCGUUAAUCGGGAAUCACUGGGCGUAAAGCGCGCGUAGGCGGUUAGGUAAGUCAGAUGUGAAAGCCCCGGGGCUCAACCUGGGAACUGCGUUUGAUACUGCCUGACUAGAGUGUGGUAGAGGGAAGUGGGAUUCCACAUGUAGCGGUGAAAUGCGUAGAGAUGUGGAGGAACACCAAUGGCGAAGGCAACUUCCUGGAUCAACACUGACGCUCAGGUGCGAAAGCGUGGGGAGCAAACAGGAUUAGAUACCCUGGUAGUCCACGCUGUAAACGAUGUCUACUAGCCGUUGGGAGGGUUUGCCUCUUAGUGGCGCAGCUAACGUGAUAAGUAGACCGCCUGGGGAGUACGGCCGCAAGGUUA